AGUGAACGCUGGCGGUAGGCCUAACACAUGCAAGUCGAACGGCAGCACAGAGGAGCUUGCUCCUUGGGUGGCGAGUGGCGGACGGGUGAGGAAUACAUCGGAAUCUACUCUGUCGUGGGGGAUAACGUAGGGAAACUUACGCUAAUACCGCAUACGACCUACGGGUGAAAGCAGGGGAUCUUCGGACCUUGCGCGAUUGAAUGAGCCGAUGUCGGAUUAGCUAGUUGGCGGGGUAAAGGCCCACCGAGGCGACGAUCCGUAGCUGGUCUGAGAGGAUGAUCAGCCACACUGGAACUGAGACACGGUACAGACUCCUACGGGAGGCAGCAGUGGGGAAUAUUGGACAAUGGGCGCAAGCCUGAUUCAGCCAUACCGCGUGGGUGAAGAAGGCCUUCGGGUUGUAAAGCCCUUUUGUUGGGAAAGAAAUCCAUCUGGUUAAUACCCGGGUGGGAUGACGGUACCCAAAGAAUAAGCACCGGCUAACUUCGUGCCAGCCGCCGUAGUAA
rnacentral:rRNA from 1 species